UACAGAGGGUGCGAGCGUUGUUCGGAAUUAUUGGGCGUAAAGGGCGCGUAGGCGGUGCGGCAAGUCACCUGUGAAACCUCUGGGCUUAACCCAGAGCCUGCAGGCGAAACUGCCGUGCUGGAGUGUGGGAGAGGUGCGUGGAAUUCCUGGUGUAGCGGUGAAAUGCGUAGAUAUCAGGAGGAACACCUGUGGCGAAAGCGGCGCACUGGACCACAACUGACGCUGAGGCGCGAAAGCUAGGGGAGCGAACGGG
rnacentral:rRNA from 1 species